UAACAGCUUAGCAUGGGUUAAUCUACUUGCUAGCUAGCUGUCACCUUGGAAACCGAGGAGCAGAGCCCCGAGGGAUGGGGCAAGUGGAUUUAUAGACUUAAAUAACAAUUCCAGAUAACAAGAGAAGAAAUGUCACAGGUAGUUCAUGAUUAAUUGCCAAAUGAGUAGCACAAACAAUAACUGCUAAAAAAUAAGAGCUCCCUACAUUUUCUCGGGUUAGAGUUUUAUACAACAUUUUCAUACACUUACUUUACUUAGCUUUACUGAAGUAGAAAAUGGACUGUGGCCAUAUGAACCUGCUCCAACACCACCAAAUACAUACUCUACCACCCAUUUACCAGUGUCUCUCAUCCCCCUGGAGGGGAACAUAGAAAGUGAAGAGAUUCUAGAAUACAAGACAACUGGGUAUCUAAGGAAGAUGUAAGAGGGUAAAAUUAUGAAGAUAAAUGCAAUUACCUGGGGAACCUGGACAAAAUUUUACCCCCUACCUGUGGUCCUGAGAUCCACACAGCCAGUCAAUCAACGGGCUCCAUCUGAAGGAACAUGAGGCAGGAGGCGGGAAGGUGAAGGAAGAAAGAAGAAACAGAUCACACUGGUCCCCGCCCUGGUCACCAAGGCACACGUAAGCCUGCUCUGAGGGAACGAGAGAAGCUUUAAAUUAUAUGUCAUCUUGAAGUUUGAAAAAGGACAGAAUGAGGCUUUUGAAUGCCUGAAAGGGACUCUACAUUGUCAAAAAGGAGUAAAAGAGAUUGGACAGCUAUGGAACCUGCCCAAGAUGUCAUCGAGAGGCAAAGAAGGGAAAUGAGAUAAAGCAUGAAGGAAAUGGUAAGAGGACAAUAAAGCCAUUUCCUGCUUAUACUCUACAAAGUUCAGCCUAAGUAACAAAUUCAUUUUAUUUUUUACUUAUAUAUGUAUAGAUAUGUGUGUGUUUAUAUGUACAUGUGUCCGUGUGUAUGUAUAUAAAGGAGAUGUUUGUUUGUA